GAUGAACGCUGGCGGCGCGCCUAACACAUGCAAGUCGAACGGUUAAAGCACCUUUUAGGUGUGUAUAAAGUGGCGAACGGCUGAGUAACACGUGGGCAACCUGCCCUCCUCUUGGGGAUAGCCUCGGGAAACCGAGGAUAAUACCCGAUACUUCAAUGUGGCCGCAUGACGACAUUGAGAAAGCUUUUGCGGAGAAGGAUGGGCCCGCGGCCUGUUAGCUUGUUGGUGGGGUAGAGGCCUACCAAGGCAAUGAUGGGUAGCUGGGUUGAGAGACCGACCAGCCAGAUUGGGACUGAGACACGGCCCAGACUCCUACGGGAGGCAGCAGUGGGGAAUCUUGCACAAUGGGCGAAAAGCCCUGAUGCAAGCGACGCCGCGUGCGG
rnacentral:rRNA from 2 species